UUGCAUACCAGACACAAGAAUUAUAAAUUAUUUAUAAAUGAUUAUUAAUCAAAAUUACCCUCAAUAAAUCAAAGUUUUGUGUAGUAAGUUGAGGGGACAGGGUCCGGCGAAGAAGGAGAAGAUGACAAUGGCAGUGAGCUUAGGGAUAGUUGUCGUUCCGUCGUGUUUCGGAGAUCGCCUCUUCCGAUCUAACUUCUCGGCCGUCUGUAGCGUCUCUUGCGGCCGAAUCAAUGUCGGAACCGUCGUAAUUUCGACUCGCCGACGCCGUGAUAUGGGCGGGUUAAUGAUUUCUAGCUGUAUCUCUUCGGAUUCUUCUUCUUCUUCGUCAUCGUCUUCCUCUGUGCCAAAUACGAAACUCUUUGUUAUUGGUAAGUAAGUUUUAUGUUUCCANNNNNNNNNNNNNNNNNNNNNNNNNNNNNNNNNNNNNNNNNNNNNNNNNNNNNNNNNNNNNNNNNNNNNNNNNNNNNNNNNNNNNNNNNNNNNNNNNNNNUAUACUCUGUGAUUCUUUUAGUGUUUCGUUAAGUAGUAUUCAAUUAAAUUCUGCGGCUGUUCACUGAGGAUACAGACAUUGAGAGCAACCCUGUCAUUUUCUUUGAUAAACUUAGAAGUUAGGAUAUCUCCAAAAUCUUAAGAGCGAUGACAUUUGUGGCGCUUGCUUGUCACCAAUUACAUAGUUAACAAUUUUACAUGUUAAAAUCCUUUGUUGGGUGUUUAAAAAUGUAGAGUGAAAGGUAUGACAAACUUUUCCAGGGUGUAGAACCUUUCAGUUUGUUGUGGUAUAGCCUGACUCCUUGAGGAAAUGUCUCUGUUUGGUUUCUUUCAGGAAUAGGUCUGAAAUCGGAGACUAUUAGAGUUACUUUUUAUAUGUUUACAGUGUUUGUACCUAAGAUAUUGUCAGAUUUGUUGUAAAGACAGGGAAUGAUUUUGGUUGGUGUGGAAGUAGAAUAAAUGGGUGUGAAGUUUUGAACUUCUGAUGAUCUGGGGAGAUUGAUAUCUUUAUUGUGUUAAUUGUGUUUGCUUUCAUUCGUUAUUGGACCUUGUGGUAUCACUCAGUAUUAUAGCUAAAUCGUUGUGAAUUAGAGCUUUAGACAGUGUUAAUGCUCUUUUAUGGUUUUAUCCACUUUUCACCUCUCUGCUUUCACCACAUGAGAUUUGAACUCGAAACAAUAUGGACUUGAUUUUGUUGUUUUUGCACAGGGCUUUCAUUCCGGACAACUGAAGAUACCUUACGGGAUACAUUUGAACAGUUUGGCAAGCUUGUACACAGUAAGCAUAAAGCUCACUUUUGUUCUACUUCUGUCCACAUUCUACAAGUGUGUAACUCAUGUUCUUGCAUGCGUCCCCUCGUGUAGUGAACUUGGUGAUGGAUAAGGUAGCUAAUAGACCAAAAGGUUUUGCCUUCCUACGGUAUGACACAGAGGAGGAGGCUAUGAAAGCUAUUGAAGGGAUGCACGGAAAGGUAUACAGCUUAAUAUCACAGACUUAACUUCAUACUUCAAAUCGUUUUACUGGUGAUUGAUAACAAGAUAUUGGUUAAUAGCAAAUUAUGAUUUGGUGUUUAUACAGUUUUUGGAUGGAAGGGUUAUAUUCGUAGAAGAAGCUAAAAGCAGAUCAGAUAUCUCCAGAGGUAAACCCAGACCAGACUACCCCAAAGCUCAAUCAAAACCUCGCACCUUUCGUACAUGGUAGCUGUUUUGAUUCUGUCUUCAUACUGUGUAAUGAAUUGUAAAAUUUUGAUCUACCUUCUUAGAUUAUACAAUGGAGUCACUUGUCAACUCCUACCAUGGUUUUACUAGUCUAAACUAAAAUUAACAUUUUUAAAAAUAACAUUUGCCAUGUCAAAAAAUGCAUAAUAUAGCCUUCAAAAUAUAUUUUUCCUUACGAUUAAUAAUUUUACUUAUGAAUCACAGUUUGUGAUAGAAAAUAAUUUCAAAUCAAAAAUUAGGCUUUACCUAUGUUGACGAAUCAAUGAUAAUGUAGCAGAUGACAAAAAAAAAAAAAAGAUUACUUAUUCUUUUCAGAAUCUACCUACAUUAUUUGUGUUAAUUAUAUUGGUCCAAUUUACAAAAAAAAAAACGUAUAUGUGAAGUACCAAAAUUACCCUAAAUAAAUCAAAGUUUUGUGUAGUAAGUUGAGGGGAUAGGGUCCGGCGAAGAAGGAGAAGAUGACAAUGGCAGUGAGCUUAGGGAUAGUUGUCGUUCCGUCGUGUUCCGGAGAUCGCGUCUUCCGAUCUAACUUCUCGCCCGUCUGUAGCGUCUCUUGCGGCCGAAUCAAUGUCGGAACCGUCGUAAUUUCGACUCGCCGACGCCGUGAUAUGGGCGGGUUAAUGAUUUCUAGCUGUAUCUCUUCGGAUUCUUCUUCUUCUUCGUCAUCGUCUUCCUCUGUGCCAAAGACGAAACUCUUUGUUAUUGGUAAGUAAGUUUUAUGUUUCCAGUUUCUUCAUCUGCUCAUCACCCCAAUUCGUGAAAGAUGCUUAUGUUAUGGAAUUUUCUUGUUAUAUACUGUGUGAUUCUUUUAGUGUUUCGUUAAGUAGUAUUCAAUUAAAUUCUGCGGCUGUUCACUGAGGAUACAGACAUUGAGAGCAACCCUGUCAUUUUCUUUGAUAAACUUAGAAGUUAGGAUAUCUCCAAAACCUUAAGAGCGAUGACAUUUGUGGCGCUUGCUUGUCACCAAUUACAUAGUUAACAAUGUUACAUGUUNNNNNNNNNNNNNNNNNNNNNNNNNNNNNNNNNNNNNNNNNNNNNNNNNNNNNNNNNNNNNNNNNNNNNNNNNNNNNNNNNNNNNNNNNNNNNNNNNNNNUGUUAAUUGUGUUUGCUUUCAUUCGUUAUUGGACCUUGUGGUAUCACUCAGUAUUAUAGCUAAAUCGUUGUGAAUUAGAGCUUUAGACAGUGUUAAUGCUCUUUUAUGGUUUUAUCCACUUUUCACCUCUCUGCUUUCACCACAUGAGACUUGAACUCGAAACAAUAUGGAUUUGAUUUUGUUGUUUUUGCACAGGGCUUUCAUUCCGGACAACUGAAGAUACCUUACGGGAUACAUUUGAACAGUUUGGCAAGCUUGUACACAGUAAGCAUAAAGCUCACUUUUGUUCUACUUCUACCCACAUUCUACAAGUGUGUAACUCAUGUUCUUGCAUGCGUCCCCUCGUGUAGUGAACUUGGUGAUGGAUAAGGUAGCUAAUAGACCAAAAGGUUUUGCCUUCCUACGGUAUGACACAGAGGAGGAGGCUAUGAAAGCUAUUGAAGGGAUGCACGGAAAGGUAUACAGCUUAAUAUCACAGACUUAACUUCAUACUUCAAAUCGUUUUACUGGUGAUUGAUAACAAGAUAUUGGUUAAUAGCAAAUUAUGAUUUGGUGUUUAUACAGUUUUCGGAUGGAAGGGUUAUAUUCGUAGAAGAAGCUAAAAGCAGAUCAGAUAUCUCCAGAGGUAAACCCAGACCAGACUACCCCAAAGCUCAAUCAAAACCUCGCACCUUUCGUACGUGGUAGCUGUUUUGAUUCUGUCUUCAUACUGUGUAAUGAAUUGUAAAAUUUUGAUCUACCUUCUUAGAUUAUACAAUGGAGUCACUUGUCAACUCCUACCAUGGUUUUACUAGUCUAAACUAAAAUUAACAUUUUUAAAAAUAACAUUUGCCAUGUCAAAAAAUGCAUAAUAUAGCCUUCAAAAUAUAUUUUUCCUUACGAUUAAUAAGUUUACUUAUGAAUCACAGUUUGUGAUAGAAAAUAAUUUCAAAUCAAAAAUUAGGCUUUACCUAUGUUGACGAAUCAAUGAUAAUGUAGCAGAUGACAAAAAAAAAAAAAAGAUUACUUAUUCUUUUCAGAAUCUACCUACAUUAUUUGUGUUAAUUAUAUUGGUCCAAUUUACAAAAAAAAAAACGUAUAUGUGAAGUACCAAAAUUACCCUAAAUAAAUCAAAGUUUUGUGUAGUAAGUUGAGGGGAUAGGGUCCGGCGAAGAAGGAGAAGAUGACAAUGGCAGUGAGCUUAGGGAUAGUUGUCGUUCCGUCGUGUUCCGGAGAUCGCGUCUUCCGAUCUAACUUCUCGCCCGUCUGUAGCGUCUCUUGCGGCCGAAUCAAUGUCGGAACCGUCGUAAUUUCGACUCGCCGACGCCGUGAUAUGGGCGGGUUAAUGAUUUCUAGCUGUAUCUCUUCGGAUUCUUCUUCUUCUUCGUCAUCGUCUUCCUCUGUGCCAAAGACGAAACUCUUUGUUAGUGGUAAGUAAGUUUUAUGUUUCCAGUUUCUUCAUCUGCUCAUCACCCUAAUUCGUGAAAGAUGCUUCUGUUAUGGAAUUUUCGUGUUAUAUACUCUGUGAUUCUUUUAGUGUUUCGUUAAGUAGUAUUCAAUUAUAUUAUGCGGCUGUUCACUGAGGAUACAGACAUUGAGCGCAACCCUGUCAUUUUCUUUGAUAAACUUAGAAGUUAAGAUAUCUCCAAAACCUUAAGAGCGAUGACAUUUGUGGCGCUUGCUUGUCACCAAUUACAUAGUUAACAAUUUUACAUGUUAAAAUCCUUUGUUGGGUGUUUAAAAAUGUAGAGUGAAAGGUAUGACAAACUUAUCCAGGGUGUAGAACCUUUCAGUUUGUUGUGGUAUAGCCUGACUCCUUGAGGAAAUGUCUCUGUUUGGUUUCUUUCAGGAAUAGGUCUGAAAUCGGAGACUAUUAGAGUUACUUUUUAUAUGUUUACAGUGUUUGUACCUAAGACAUUGUCAGAUUUGUUGUAAAGACAGGGAAUGAUUUUGGUUGGUGUGGAAGUAGAAUAAAUGGGUGUGAAGUUUUGAACUUCUGAUGAUCUGGGGAGAUUGAUAUCUUUAUUGUGUUAAUUGUGUUUGCUUUCAUUCGUUAUUGGACCUUGUGGUAUCACUCAGUAUUAUAGCUAAAUCGUUGUGAAUUAGAGCUUUAGACAGUGUUAAUGCUCUUUUAUGGUUUUAUCCACUUUUCACCUCUCUGCUUUCACCACAUGAGACUUGAACUCGAAACAAUAUGGACUUGAUUUUGUUGUUUUUGCACAGGGCUUUCAUUCCGAACAACUGAAGAUACCUUACGGGAUACAUUUGAACAGUUUGGCAAGCUUGUACACAGUAAGCAUAAAGCUCACUUUUGUUCUACUUCUGUCCACAUUCUACAAGUGUGUAACUCAUGUUCUUGCAUGCGUCCCCUCGUGUAGUGAACUUGGUGAUGGAUAAGGUAGCUAAUAGACCAAAAGGUUUUGCCUUCCUACGGUAUGACACAGAGGAGGAGGCUAUGAAAGCUAUUGAAGGGAUGCACGGAAAGGUAUACAGCUUAAUAUCACAGACUUAACUUCAUACUUCAAAUCGUUUUACUGGUGAUUGAUAACAAGAUAUUGGUUAAUAGCAAAUUCUGAUUUGGUGUUUAUACAGUUUUUGGAUGGAAGGGUUAUAUUCGUAGAAGAAGCUAAAAGCAGAUCAGAUAUCUCCAGAGGUAAACCCAGACCAGACUACCCCAAAGCUCAAUCAAAACCUCGCACCUUUCGUACGUGGUAGCUGUUUUGAUUCUGUCUUCAUACUGUGUAAUGAAUUGUAAAAUUUUGAUCUACCUUCUUAGAUUAUACAAUGGAGUCACUUGUCAACUCCUACCAUGGUUUUACUAGUCUAAACUAAAAUUAACAUUUUUAAAAAUAACAUUUGCCAUGUCAAAAAAUGCAUAAUAUAGCCUUCAAAAUAUAUUUUUCCUUACGAUUAAUAAUUUUACUUAUGAAUCACAGUUUGUGAUAGAAAAUAAUUUCAAAUCAAAAAUUAGGCUUUACCUAUGUUGACGAAUCAAUGAUAAUGUAGCAGAUGACAAAAAAAAAAAAAUAUUACUUAUUCUUUUCAGAAUCUACCUACAUUAUUUGUGUUAAUUAUAUUGGUCCAAUUUACCAAAAAAAAAAACGUAUAUGUGAAGUACCAAAAUUACCCUCAAUAAAUCAAAGUUUUGUGUAGUAAGUUGAGGGGAUAGGGUCCGGCGAAGAAGGAGAAGAUGACAAUGGCAGUGAGCUUAGGGAUAGUUGUCGUUCCGUCGUGUUCCGGAGAUCGCCUCUUCCGAUCUAACUUCUCGGCCGUCUGUAGCGUCUCUUGCGGCCGAAUCAAUGUCGGAACCGUCGUAAUUUCGACUCGCCGACGCCG
rnacentral:lncRNA from 1 species